rnacentral:misc_RNA from 1 species
UUUCCGUAGGUGAACCUGCGGAAGGAUCAUUAAUGAGUUGUCAUGGGGUUCGAUGCUGGCAGCCAGUUUUUGGAUGCAUGUGCUUGCCCCAACAAUCAUCUUCUUCCAAACACCUGUGCACAUUUUUGAGGGAGUCUUGAGUUGGUUGCCGCUCUUGGGUGAUUUUCUCACAUUCCCUUAAAUCAUUAUACGCUAUUAACAAUGUUGAACGUGCUCUGUGCCGCAAGGCCAUUAAUAUAAUACAACUUUUAACAACGGAUCUCUUGGCUCUC